CAUAUGUUAUUUUGUCUAACGGUAUAACAGCUGGUGAGUCACUGGUUUGUGUAAUUAUAUCUUAUCUUGUGAAUACAAAGUGGAUUUAACUAAACUUACAGAAACAUAUAAUUUCAAUAUGGAGGAAUAUGAAUAUUCUAAGGAUAAAAUGACACAAGAAGAAAGUAAAGAAACAGAUAGAACAAGUGUCAAACAUGAUGAACAUUUAGGUGAAAUGUCUAAAGCAGUAAUAUUAAAAAAUGUACUUCUUGUUUACGUAUUUACCGGAUUCUGUUCAGGAGUAACAGUCGUUGCGAUACUUUUGAUGAUCUCCUUUGUAACAAACAUACGCUCUGGGAUCAAUACAUCUUCUUCCAUCUGUAAGCAAUUCCGGAAAGUGGCUGUUCACUUGAUUACCUCAAAGGAACAACAGCUUCUAGUUGUAUCAUCAGUAUUUAGUGACCUGACAAAUGGUUUUGUCGUGGGAGACUUUACCAGUGAUCAGCCAUACAGCUGUCUUGUUAUAUAACCUUACUGCUAUGGAAUCCACUUCCAACUCAGUAUGCAGUAGUGUUUGUACUAGCUGCCAUGUCUGGCUUGGCGGGAGCAGCAAAUGAACCGGUUAUUUCAGCCCUGCAUAAUCUUUAUUUUGAUAAGACAAGAGAUAUCGCAUUGUCAAGUUACAGACUUCUAACCUCAUUAGGAUGGGCGCUAUCGUUUGGAUACAGUAGCUGGCUGUGUUCGCAAUUCAAGAUUUAUAUACUCAUUGGUGUAUUAGUGCUCUCCGUUUUAACUUUGAUAUCACUAUAUAAAACAUAAAAGAGACCUUAAACAACAUACAAAGGAAAAGGAUAAGGUUGGAGAAAAUUUGAUUGCACUUACGACAUAAGUGUGAAAUACUUCUUUUUACAACAGUACCGUUUGUGCUAUGUGUCGUAUUAUGCUUAAAUUCAGUGUUAUUAUAAAUAAACUCCGGUCCUAGCGUGUUGUACAGCUGAUCUAAGAAAAGAAUAUACUCGAUCGGGAAUAAUAUCCAAGACAUUUCUUGACUUUCUUAGAGAGACAUCUUCAUUUUUGGUAACUUUGCUCCAUCUGAUAUCAUGAUACAGUUUACAUGUUGUAGCCGCUACACAAUUAAACUGUCAAAUUAUGAAAUUUAAAUGUGUUUUACUUAUAUUUCUAAUUUGUCUGAUUGUAAUUUUGUAAUGAUAUUUGCCAUUGAUGGAUACUUGAAAUAUCGUCAGUGUAUGCAGGCCGAUUAUCGUUUAAAACAAUUCAAGUUUUUUUUCUAAUUUACAUAGUAUGCUUUUAUUUCUGUUUCAUUCUGGGUUUGUCACCGUUUUAGAACAGUUAACUAACCCAUAUUCCUUGAUUCUAGAGAACAUUGGUACAUAUGUUUAGUUUGUAAAUUUGUAGCGAAUCAAGUGUUGUUUAUAAACAUUUUCCCAGCAAUAAGAAACUGUGUAAUUAGCUUUUUUAUUAUUUUAUAAAUGUGACAGCUGUGCAUAAGAAAUUUAACAGAUUAUGUUAUAAGUUUGAGAAAUAGUGUCAGCUGUUUCUUUUGUUGCUAAUUAGAAUAUGCUUCUAAAAUAACCUAUAUAUUGCCUCAAAGUAUAAUGUUUGUUUUUGUUUUUAGGUCUGUCGAUUUGCUCUUCACAAUUUAAUAAUAAUGCAUAUUUUAAUCCUACUUUCGUUUAUUGUUCAAGCCCCUUUCAGAUAUUAUCAACAGUUGCACAUUAAGGGCAAAACUUUUUUCAGCAGUAUUGACUUAAAGACGUCAAAGUGAGAAGCAAUUAAAAUUAUUCAUUAUAUAUAUAAUAGUUAUAACGCCCUGUUAACAUACUGCUUGGUUUUUGGUAUACUGUCUGAUUGCAAAUUAACGCGCAUCGCUGAUUCAACUCGAUACAUAAGAUCGUUAUAUAAAAUAAAUUAAAAAGUAUUGAUAUUAAAUCUUGUGAAUAAUAAAAUAACAGUCAUUGAUUUAAGAUUAAUAACCUGGUGUGACCCAACACUUUCCAAUGGGACACCUUUUGUUGUCAUCCUAAGUACACAUUAACUGAGUUCAGCUCUGCGUCUAGUUUUACCUCUAGUAAUGACUUAUCCUAACUUCUUAAUAGAAGAGCGGAUCUCUACUACAGGGAUGACUGGUUACCAGCUUGCAAUGGUUGUGCAUAAUGAAAAUAGCAAAAGAGUUUUACUUAUUGUCAGGGCCGACAGUGAUUGAAAGGUUUCUUUAUUAUGAGUGUAAUUACAUUUAUAAUAAGUGUGACAGCCUACGCUUUCCUAAAGGUUUUCAGCUGAACUCGAGUAUGUUAAAUACAUCAUUGUCAUGCAAGGUAUUGAUUGACUUAUUGUCCGACGGUAAAGUUUAUUUCAUGAAACUUUGCUUUUAAGAUCAACUUUCUGUUUACAUGAGCUAUUGAAAGACAUGAUAUUUGGACAUUGACAUCUUUUGCUUUAUCAAUUUGUCGCUGGAACCUAAAGCAUGAUAGUGAAGAUGCUUAAAGCUUAAACAUGUCCUAUAUGAA